ACGGUUGAGGGCCUGAAAUCCAUAGGAUUGUCCCACUGCCAAGAUUUCUCUUCAGCCCAUCUCAUGUUCACGUUCUCAAUUUCCAACCCUUUGAUGUGUUCCAUGAUGAUCCCAGCCAUGCUGUGUUUCACCAGCCCUCGGCAUCCAGGUCUGUAGUCUACCAAUCCUCCCUCAUAACUUGUCCACCUCUUGUAAGUCACGUUCACAUUACUAAAUCUCAGAUUUCUCAGCAGCCCACCCUUGGAACCUGAGAGGAACACACCAUUCUCGGAAUCGGCGGUGAUGUCGAUGAAGCGUACGUUUGAUACCGCGCCUUCCUUCGACCAGGAAUGGCGCGCACAUGUUGUUAUGUAGAUGGGUUCUGCUCUUCCCCACCAAGACGGGUGGUAGUACCUAGUGGAGAUCUUGAUGUUUGAGAAGGUGAUGUCAUUCACAUUUCCUGCACAGACAGCACAGAUAAGCUCAAGAUUCAGCAGCCAUUUCAGGCUAAGAGAGAUAUGAGCUUUGUCAGAGGAACUAUGAUCUUCACACACAGUUUUUCUUAAAGGCGCUUAUUGGGCAUUUAACUCUCUUGACAAAAAAAUCAGACCUAUAUGCUCUCCCUGGCACAAAAUAGCUCCAGUUAACUUAGUAAUCACGUGAAAGGAAGAGUUCAAGGUCAAGGUAUAUCUAUUUUCUAGCUCUCCAUUUGUUUGCGAUGCAAAUAAGUGCAUCCUAAAACAACCUGUUGCCACACCUAAAAGAGAGAUCUAAGAGAAGAUGAAGGAAGACAACACCCUUGCUAAAUCAAAGAACAGGUUCCUCUGUAAACACAAUCCAUUUUUUGGGAAAAAUUUCUGCAGACAACGCCUGGCUAAUGAGCAGUUAUUUAAUAUCCCAUUAAUGAGAACAAAGAGAAUCAGAUGGCCAGAGUUUUCUUCUGAGCAUUUCAGUCUUCACUAUACAGAAUUGUAACUACAGCAGCAGAAGAAAGAAGAACCAAUAUUGUACCUCCAUCACGUAUCUGCACUCCCAGUCCUCUAUGAGAUUCCACUACGGUGAUGUUGUCAAAGACCAGACCCCUAAAAUCAAACCAGCUUGCGCUACCAAGUUUGAUUGCCGAGGACUUUGUUCGGAUCCAACAGUCCGUUGCUGUUAAAUUGUACAGAGGACCUGUAUAAGUCUUCGGACAGAUGGCAUCAUCUCCUGUAUCAAUCUUGCACCGCGUGAUAACCGUGUGAUUCGAAUCGUCUAUGUCAAUUCCGUCAUUGUUAGGAGUGUUAAAGUCUCCAUAAAUGGAAACAUCAUGAAUGAAUGUAUUCACGCAACGUACUAUGUGCAAGCUGCAAUCACCCAUGUAAUGUUUCAUCAGCAAUCCACUGGAAUCCAGAUCAAAUGUAAAGCGGGAUACAAUAGUAGACAGUAAAAGAUCUUGGAGAGGUAUAAAGCAAAGCAAACGCAGAAGUGAGAAACAGGGUAUUCAUCUUGAACAUGAUGAUCUAGAUUUCCACGGUCCAGACUCACUUCACUGAUGAUUCUAAGCUAGAAGAUCUCAAACAGCUGCAAUCCCUGGCAAUUGCAAAAAAGAUCGAAUUUUCUCCAAGCUGACUAUGGUUCUACCAUGUAAUACCAUAUUGUCGUAUUUGCAAAAAUUGCAACUUGAAGGCCACUAUAACCUCAGUAGCCGAAAGAAUGACGAGCACUAUGGCAUACAGAUAGUGCCACUUUCUUGAAUUUGAUAAUGCCAUAGCAGUUCUUCAGUUAUCUACAAAGUAAGCAAGGUCCGAAUCUCACCAAAUGGCAUUUGAAUCUCGCAGUGACAUUAGGAGUUUCUUUCUUCUGCAGAGACCAACACAAUUGCCAGUUUGGCUUUCUACCCAGUUCAAUUCAAAUCACCUCGAAUGCAUACUGACCUUUCAAAACCAGUUAUCGAAUUCUUGGAACAACAUACAGUCGUAAAACAGUAAAGUGGCCAAAACUGAUGGCAGAGAGAGAGAGAGAGAGAGAGAGACAGAGAGACAGAGGGACCAAUAAGCGGGCUGAUUCAAGCUGACGUUCCAGACGCGGACGUUCGUGCACCCCACGAACCCGACCAGCCUCGGUCUUCUACACUCGUCGCCAAGGCACGCCCCGGUCUUGUUCCAGCUGACCAUCACGUUCUUCCUCUCAUCGAACCUCCUCACGAACUCCAGCCCCUGCCCGUCCACCGCCCCGCCGCCGGUGAUCCCGACGUCCCUCGCGCCCUCGGCCAGUAUCACGUACCACCGGUCGGCCUCCGGUGGGUAGUCCCCGAUCUCCGUGCCCCCAAGCACCGUCGCCCCACUUUGGAUGUCCAGCACCACGCCGGACUUGAGCCGGACCGUCGCGGUCAGGUACUUCCCUGGGGGGAAGGCGACGCGGCAAGUGCAACCGGCGGCAGCCGCGGCGGCGUGGGCGUGGCAGUUGUCGAUGGCGGCCUGGAUCGCGGCGGUGUCGUAGCGGCAGCCGUCGCCGGCGGCGCCGAAGUCUUUUACGGAGAGGGAGGCGGCGGGGGCGGAGAGCGGCGGCGGCGAGGGCGACCGCCCCUGGGCGAAGGGGAGGAGGUGGAGGAGGAGACGGAGAGCCGACCGGAGGAGUGACGGAGGAGGUCCGGCCAUCGGGGUGCGGACAAAGGUCGCUGAUACGAUAUCGGAUAGGGUGUCCUAACUUGUACGCCAUUAGUCAACUAUCGAAGUACUUCACUAGUGGGGUCGGUACCGUAAAGGUUUUGGGUGCAUUCGUGCUAUAUUAAUCUCAAGUUAAUUCGUGCGUUUCGAAAUUCCUACACCAUGCAUCCGUGCCUAUAUUAUUAUUUACCCAUAAAUUAUUUUUUUAUGUUACAAAAGAUCCAAACAGCUAUUCUUGUAUCAUAUUUACUCCAAACUGAUCUUUUUAUUUUUUGGUCAAAUCCCAAGCUUAUUUACACAUACCAUACUUACUCUAAAAAAUCCCAUAUUUAUUGCACCCAGUUUGGAGUAAAAAUGACAUGAGUGUUUCAAUUCAAGGAAAAAAUUAGUUAUGGAUAAAUGUGACAUAAGUGUAUCAAUUUGUCUGACGUUGUUUAAGGCACCUAAUUGCUUGCUUUAUAGAUAAAUUAUUGACAAGUGGCGCUCCUUAUAUUCAUGGCAUCCCACAUCUAUUGUGAGAGGGAAGAGAAUUGAGUUAGAUAGCAAGUUUUUUCCUUAGGAUGCAGUUCAAUCGACCAGGGAAGUGGAGGCAACAGCCAACGAGUAAAUCCAUGUAAUGGUUGCAUAGAUCAAAGUGUCAAAAACCAAACUAAAAUAAUAGGGCAUUCAUAAUUACAAAAUGUACUACGUGGGACAGGAGUUUCUAGAAGUGCCAGAUGCAAGACUAGCCCAUAGCCCAAGAAGUUAGAAAUGGAGAAUACAUAGUUAUCAAUUGCAAUGGUGCCAGCGUGUUUGAAUCCAAGGCAUUGGAUUCUUAUUCAUGAAGAAACUACGUCUAAGGCCUUGAAUUCUUGUCUACCUACAGAGCUUCAUUGUCCAGAGAAGCAUGCAUUCGUAUGCAUUCUCAACAAGUCGAUGGACAGAAAAGGAAACACUGCAAGACUUCCAUUCCAAAUUCUAAACAAUGUUGCUGGCAAUUCCAAAAAACGACUUCUCAUCAUUGUUGUCGAUCGCUUGGUCCCCAUCCUCGCUAGGUCCCCGUCUUCGCUAGCCAUUGCUCAUGUGCCGUCCUUGCCACUCUCGCUCAAUCAAGCUUGUCAUCUUCUUUUGCCAGCUCAAUUGGCUGGAAAAAUUAGAGCUUGGAGGGAACAAUUAGGGUUCUUGGUGCUGCCGUAGGGAUGGCGGUCCUAGAGGAGGAAUCGUGCGAUAGUAAAGUUACAAUUGUGGGGAGCUCAUUUUAUUUAAUCCAUUCAGUACUAACUUGUUUUAUGUUCACUAAAUGACAACCGCUGAGUCAUUAUUUAAUCAAUUAAGUACGAUUGUGAGAACUUUCAUGUAAAGUUAUUGUUAUUUUUGCAUUGUGGGCCCAUAAGUUAAAUUUUUUUUUUUUUGGUGUAAUGUCGUUGUGGGAUACGGUAUUGUAGACAUGAAGAGAAUUUGUUAUGGCAUACUCGGUAACCAGAUUUUUGAGAUGGGUAAAGUGCCAAUCCCAGAGCCAUUUCCUCCACCAAGUGAAUGUCAUACUUGGCAAAAGACCACCCCGAGUUGUAGUUACUGAGUCUACCAAUCUAGAACAAAUCAUUAAUUGCAACACAAUCAACACAACCAACACUGUCGUCAAGGCUGACAAGCUCGACAAGAUCUAGAUUUUGGGGGCUCAAGAGAUGGCUUACCUACCGGAAACUGCGCCGCGAUUCACUAGCGAUGUCGAUUAGAUAAGUUUGGCUGCAUAUCGUCUUAGCUCUCCUAUGCCUCGUAGAAAUUGCGGGUCACAUCAUCAUUUGUGUCGGUUUGGACUGAUGUGAAUUUCCAGCUGUUUGGCUUUCAGUCCAAUCGAUCUGCGAUAUUUAAUAUGAGAUCGGAUGUUUUGACACUACAAGGGCGGUUUUCCUCCGCCUCACUGCAUCUGCAUAGCAUUCUCUUGUGCAUUUAUGAAUUCGAACCUUUGCACAUCUUUCCAUUGAUUAUGUUGGAUAAGAGUUGUUCUGUUUGUUAAGAAGUAACUAAUCUCCGGUCCGCAUCUUCAAAAUUCACUCUGAAGAUUUUUACAGUGGUCCGAUGCACGAACUUCAUGGUCUAUGAGCCGAGCAAUAGAAUCUUUUUAGAAGUUUUUGAGUCAUAACUUCUACUUCGCCGCCGGGACAGCUAUUCCUGAUUGUCGAAAAUUCCUUAAAGGUCAUUGCUUUAACAGAAGUAGGAGUAAAUUCCGCACGAAAGACACAUUACCAUCGACCUGGUCAGUGGCUUAUGGUAAUAGAUGACAGGAACUUCGAGCAAUAAGGUACCAAAUCUAGCUUGGAUGGUCUGAAUAAUGAGCUUGUGAUGAUUUUCCAAGGCAUCCAGAUAGGUGGUAUCCUGUUAAUAUAUGGGCCACUUUUUCCAUGUUUCUGUGUUAUUCGGAUGCUCCGAAAGAGGAUUUUUCAGUUGUCAGUCGUAGCAAGUGAAUUGCAGAACAACUGGUUUUGAAGGGCAACGGUCAUUCUCUGAAGUAAGUGAUCCUGAAUUCCAAGUUGUGCAAGACCUUGGUUUAAUUGUUUCUUGUAUGUGCUUUAUACUACUUCUACCGUGGAUGUUGAGUUCUUCCAACUUCCUUUGCAGACCUUUGCCAAAACAACAUAAUUCACGUGGAACAACUAAGCGACUUAUAUGAUAGUUUUUCUUCUGUGGAGGGGAUUUCGUGGCCUCUUGGUUUAAUCCAAGUCUUUGGCUAGCGGAAAUGGCUGGCGCUGAAAAGGGCAGAGAUGUUGGGUUCUCGGGGUAACCGGUUUCGAAACCUUGGUUCCCGUAGGCAGAACUCGAAACAAUGAAAUUCGAAUAAAGCACUACCAAUGGCUGCUGCUGUCGGACCAGCCUCAGCGACAAGUCGAAUGCUGAUUCGCAAAAACCAUCAGAAAAGAAUGUCAAUAUCGAUCGAUAUCGAAUGAUAUCAACACUAGGCCGGAGAAGAAAGCAAGACGAUGUCUAGUCCCCGUGUAUGAUCGGCACGAUGGUCGUCAUAUGAUUGUAACUCGUCCUUGUGUCAUUGUGUGCUUUGAGACUAAAACAGCUUAUUCACAUGUAUGAUGGAAAUAGUCUGUUUUUGAGAUAUUGAGGCGUCCAUAAUAAAAAUUCUGUUUCAGAAAUCAAUUUCUGAUUAUAAAUUGAUUUUUUUAUUUUUAUUCAUUACAAAGUUUUUAAGCAAAAAUGCGUGUUUGAUAAUCUUAUAAAAUUAGAAGUUAGUUUAAUAACGAUACAAAAUUUCUUCCUCUCAAGUGAUAGUGAGAGGUGUUUUGCAUCCAAUGCUUGGUGGGCAAUCGAUGGUGCGCGGGCAGCAUCCAGUGGGAGGCGAGCCGGUAGCGUCCAGUGAUUGGCAGUUGGAGGUAAGUUGGCAAUGGCUAGCAAUCAAUGGCCUAUGGCUGGCGGGCGAUGAGAAAAGUGAAUGAUGAAAAGAAUUUUAAUUUCUUCCUUUUAUUUUAAAAAUAAAAAAGCUAAAAAUUUUCGCUUUUGAUUUCUAGUCCAUAUAUAUUUCUUAAGUAGAAAUCUGUUUUAGAAAUAAAAAAAUGAAAUUACAUUAACAAACGAAUUUCUAUUCCAAAUCUAUUACGGAGAAUAGAAAAAUAAAGAAAUAUCAUGAUUAUCAUGCCCACCCUAAACAAACAUUUUCCCAGAAAUUUCGUAGGCGUUAGGGGAAUGCCAUUUCGUGCCGCCUAGUGCCAGGAAUCCACUUACCUUUUCACCUCCGCACAGAACUAUUAGAAUUCGAGGACAUCUUUCUAUUCAGGUGGCUAGAAUUACUUCUGUCGUUUGAAAGAAGCAAGUUGCACAUGCUGAGAGAAUUCUAGAUUUGCCUGAACAGACCAAACCAAAAACGCUUUUGAAGAAUGGCAUUUUCGAAAACCGGUUCAGACAACUCGUUUCUUUCGUUGCUACACAACCCUUUAUGCACAGUGUAGGGUGCCGUACACGAAUGGCGUAGAAAAUUUGUUACAGUUGAGCCCUGGUUCUCAGCCCCCUGAUCACCUCAUCAACUGUACAAAUCCGAGUGGAAAUCGCGGAAAGAUAUGCCGUUCACGGUCGAGGGCCUGAAAUCCAGAGGAUUGUCCCACUGCCAAGAUUUCUCGUCAGCCCAUCUCAUGUUCACGUUCUCAAUUUCCAGCCCUUUGAUGUGCUCCAUGAUGAUCCCGGCCAUGCCGUGCUUCACCAGCCCUUGGCAUCCAGGUCUGUAGUCUGCCAAUCCUCCCUCGUAACUUGUCCACCUCUUGUAAGUCAAGUUCACAUUACUAAAUCUCAGAUUUCUCAGCAGCCCACCCUUGGAACCUGAGAGGAACACACCAUUCUCGGAAUCAGCGGUGAUGUUGAUGAAGCG
rnacentral:lncRNA from 1 species